rnacentral:ncRNA from 1 species
AAAGACUUAGUCCUAACCUUACUGUUAAUUCAUGCUAAACAUAUACAUGCAAGUAUCCGCGCCCCAGUGUAAAUGCCCUCGAUCUCUUAUUAAGAUGACAGGAGCAGGCAUCAGGCACACAUCAAUCGUAGCCCAAGACGCCUUGCUCAGCCACACCCCCACGGGUACUCAGCAGUAAUUAACAUUAAGCAAUAAGUGCAAACUUGACUUAGUUAUAGCAUAUCUCCAGGGUUGGCAAAUCUUGUGCCAGCCGCCGCGGUCAUACAAGAAGCCCAAGUUAACAGUGUUCGGCGUAAAGAGUGGGUGCUUACUAUCCAAGCGACUAGGAUUAAACUGCAGCUGAGCUGUCAUAAGCCCAAGAUGUAUCUAAAACCACCACCAAGACGAUCCUAGCGCCUACGACCGACUAAACCCCACGAAAGCCAGGGUACAAACUGGGAUUAGAUACCCCACUAUGCCUGGCCCUAAAUUUCGAUACUUACCCCACCAAAGUAUCCGCCUGAGAACUACGAGCACAAACGCUUAAAACUCUAAGGACUUGGCGGUGCCCCAAACCCGCCUAGAGGAGCCUGUUCUAUAAUCGAUAACCCACGUUACACCCCACCACCCCUUGCCCAAGCAGCCUACAUACCGCCGUCGCCAGCUCACCUCUUCUGAAAGACCAAUAGUGAGCCUAAUAGCCCGCCCGCUAGAAAGACAGGUCAAGGUAUAGCCCACGGAGUGGAAGAAAUGGGCUACAUUUUCUAAAGUAGAAAAUCUCACGAAAAGGGGUGUGAAACAGCCCCUGGAAGGUGGAUUUAGCAGUAAAUCGGGACAAUAGAGCCCUAUUUAAACCGGCCCUGAGGCACGUACAUACCGCCCGUCACCCUCCUCGCAGGCUAUCCCUCCCAUAAUUAAUACCCUAAUCAGCCGAAGAUGAGGUAAGUCGUAACAAGGUAAGUGUACCGGAAGGUGCACUUAGCAUACCAGGACGUAGCUACAAUAC